CGAAAGGCGUAGUCGAUGGGAAACGGGUUAAUAUUCCCGUACUUGGUGUUACUGCGAAGGGGGGACGGAGAAGGCUAUGUUGGCCGGGCGACGGUUGUCCCGGUUUAAGCGUGUAGGUGUGUGUUCCAGGUAAAUCCGGUUCACUUUAACACUGAGGCGUGACGACGAGGCACUACGGUGCUGAAGCAACAAAUGCCCUGCUUCCAGGAAAAGCCUCUAAGCAUCAGGUAACAUCAAAUCGUACCCCAAACCGACACAGGUGGUCAGGUAGAGAAUACCAAGGCGCUUGAGAGAACUCGGGUGAAGGAACUAGGCAAAAUGGUGCCGUAACUUCGGGAGAAGGCACGCUGACACGUAGGUGAAGUGAUUUACUCAUGGAGCUGAAGUCAGUCGAAGAUACCAGCUGGCUGCAACUGUUUAUUAAAAACACAGCACUGUGCAAACACGAAAGUGGACGUAUACGGUGUGACGCCUGCCCGGUGCCGGAAGGUUAAUUGAUGGGGUCAGCGCAAGCGAAGCUCCUGAUCGAAGCCCCGGUAAACGGCGGCCGUAACUAUAACGGUCCUAAGGUAGCGAAAUUCCUUGUCGGGUAAGUUCCGACCUGCACGAAUGGCGUAAUGAUGGCCAGGCUGUCUCCACCCGAGACUCAGUGAAAUUGAACUCGCUGUGAAGAUGCAGUGUACCCGCGGCAAGACGGAAAGACCCCGUGAACCUUUACUAUAGCUUGACACUGAACAUUGAGCCUUGAUGUGUAGGAUAGGUGGGAGGCUUUGAAGUGUGGACGCCAGUCUGCAUGGAGCCGACCUUGAAAUACCACCCUUUAAUGUUUGAUGUUCUAACGUGGACCCGUGAUCCGGGUUGCGGACAGUGUCUGGUGGGUAGUUUGACUGGGGCGGUCUCCUCCUAAAGAGUAACGGAGGAGCACGAAGGUUGGCUAAUCCUGGUCGGACAUCAGGAGGUUAGUGCAAUGGCAUAAGCCAGCUUGACUGCGAGCGUGACGGCGCGAGCAGGUGCGAAAGCAGGUCAUAGUGAUCCGGUGGUUCUGAAUGGAAGGGCCAUCGCUCAACGGAUAAAAGGUACUCCGGGGAUAACAGGCUGAUACCGCCCAAGAGUUCAUAUCGACGGCGGUGUUUGGCACCUCGAUGUCGGCUCAUCACAUCCUGGGGCUGAAGUAGGUCCCAAGGGUAUGGCUGUUCGCCAUUUAAAGUGGUACGCGAGCUGGGUUUAGAACGUCGUGAGACAGUUCGGUCCCUAUCUGCCGUGGGCGCUGGAGAACUGAGGGGGGCUGCUCCUAGUACGAGAGGACCGGAGUGGACGCAUCACUGGUGUUCGGGUUGUCAUGCCAAUGGCACUGCCCGGUAGCUAAAUGCGGAAGAGAUAAGUGCUGAAAGCAUCUAAGCACGAAACUUGCCCCGAG
rnacentral:rRNA from 1 species